rnacentral:rRNA from 1 species
UACGUAGGGUCCGAGCGUUGUCCGGAGUUACUGGGCGUAAAGCGCGUGUAGGCGGCUUUGCAAGUCGGGUGUGAAAGCCCUCAGCUCAACUGAGGAAGUGCGCCCGAAACUGCAGAGCUUGAGUACCGGAGAGGGUGGCGGAAUUCCCCAAGUAGAGGUGAAAUUCGUAGAUAUGGGGAGGAACACCGGUGGCGAAGGCGGCCACCUGGACGGUCACUGACGCUGAGACGCGAAAGCGUGGGGAGCAAACAGG